rnacentral:tRNA from 1 species
GUCAUAUUAGAGGCUUCUUUUUUACAAGCUUCAAUAAUUAUGAAAACAAAGCUGGAUGAAAACACUUGACGUUGGACUUCAUUCUUUUAAUGUAAAGAAGAGAUGGCUUGACCCCAACGUGAUUUGAACACUCAACUUUCUGAUCUGGAGUCAGACGCGCUACCGUUGCGUCACAAGGUCUUAAAAAAGCAGGUUAUUGCUUCCUUUGCAUGGCCGUUGAUGCAUUCACCCCAAUAAGGAGCCUACUUUUCCCAAUAACCUCAAGAGGUACGGAUGUCUGAUUUUCUUGGAAACUUUUCAUGCCUUACGGUUUUUCCAUCCUUCGAUAGCUCAGCUGGUAGAGCAAAGGACUGUAGAUGAGUUGUUGGGUAUCCUUAGGUCGCUGGUUCGAUUGCGGCUCGAAGGAGUGUGAUUUUAAAUUCAGAUCAAAUAUUUUCACAUUUCCUUUAGACUUCAUAUUGGCAGUUAAAAAAAGCCAAUGGGUCAAGAUCCAAAUAUAUCACUUUACAGAGUGGAAGGAGUGUUUGUCAUAUUAGAG